rnacentral:rRNA from 1 species
UACGUAGGGUGCGAGCGUUAAUCGGAAUUACUGGGCGUAAAGCGUGCGCAGGCGGUUUUUUAAGGCAGGUGUGAAAUCCCCGGGCUCAACCUGGGAAUGGCAUUUGGGACUGCAAGGCUGGAGUGCGGCAGAGGAGACUGGAAUUCCUGGUGUAGCAGUGAAAUGCGCAGAUAUCAGGAGGAACACCGGUGGCGAAGGCGGUUCUCUGGGCAUGUCCUGACGCUGAGGAGCGAAAGUGUGGGGAGCGAACAGG